rnacentral:rRNA from 1 species
ACGAACUGCGCGAACGUUAUUCGGAAUCACUGGGCUUAAAGAGUUCGUAGGCUGCUUAGUUAGUCGGGUGUGAAAUCCCUUGGCCCAACCAAGGAACUGCGCCCGAUACUGCUAGGCUUGAGGAAGACAGGGGUAAGCGGAACUGAUGGUGGAGCGGUGAAAUGCGUUGAUAUCAUCAGGAACACCGGUGGCGAAGGCGGCUUACUGGGUCUUUUCUGACGCUGAGGAACGAAAGCUAGGGGAGCGAACGGG